rnacentral:rRNA from 1 species
CAAGUCGAACGGAGUCAAGAAGCUUGCUUUUGACUAGUGGCGGACGGGUGAGUAACGCGUGAGUAACCUGCCUCUGAGAGGGGAAUAACGUUCUGAAAAGAACGCUAAUACCGCAUAACGUAUCGAAGCCGCAUGACUUUGAUACCAAAGAUUUUAUCGCUCGGAGAUGGACUCGCGUCCGAUUAGUUAGUUGGUGAGGUAACGGCUCACCAAGACCGCGAUCGGUAGCCGGACUGAGAGGUUGAUCAGCCACAUUGGGACUGAGACACGGCCCAGACUCCUACGGGAGGCAGCAGUGGGGGAUAUUGCGCAAUGGGGGCAACCCUGAACCGCAGCAACGCCGCGUGAAGGAUGAAGGUUUUCGGAUUGUAAACUUCUUUUAUCAGGGACGAAGCUUGACGGUACCUGAUGAAUAAGCUCCGGCUAACUACGUGCCAGCCGCCGC